rnacentral:lncRNA from 1 species
AUUCUACAGUACCUUGUUCAGCCCAGUCGUAAUCAUCUUUUCCAUUACAUUUUGCUUUCUUAUUUUUCUUUCUUGCUUUCUUUUUAUCGACUUCUCCCCACGGAUUUGUUCCGCCAGCAUAACUUGGGAUAUUCAGAAUCGCAAUACCUUCUAAACUUGGACCAUUUGCCAGGUUUAAUGGCUCACCAUCGCACUAAAAGAAUAAAUUAUAUACAGUAGUUCAUAGUCCCCAUAUAUCAACUUCUGUGUUUUAUUAUAAAUAAACUAGAUGCAAAUAGCUUACGCAGCAAAACAUUUAAAGGUUGUUGCUAAAGGGGAUGGAGG